GCCAGGUGUGGUGGCUCACACCUGUAAUCCCAGCACUUCAGGAGGCUGAGGUGGGAGGAUCGCUUGAGCCCAGGAGUUCGAGACCAGCCUGGGCAACAUAGUGAGAUCUCAUAUCUA
ensembl:misc_RNA Metazoa_SRP Metazoan signal recognition particle RNA